UGGGGAAUCUUAGACAAUGGGCGCAAGCCUGAUCUAGCCAUGCCGCGUGUGUGAUGAAGGCCUUAGGGUCGUAAAGCACUUUCGCCAGGGAUGAUAAUGACAGUACCUGGUAAAGAAACCCCGGCUAACUCCGUGCCAGCAGCCGCGGUAAUACGGAGGGGGUUAGCGUUGUUCGGAAUUACUGGGCGUAAAGCGCACGUAGGCGGAUUAGAAAGUUGGGGGUGAAAUCCCGGGGCUCAACCCCGGAACUGCCUCCAAAACUCCUAGUCUAGAGUUCGAGAGAGGUGAGUGGAAUUCCGAGUGUAGAGGUGAAAUUCGUAGAUAUUCGGAGGAACACCAGUGGCGAAGGCGGCUCACUGGCUCGAUACUGACGCUGAGGUGCGAAAGUGUGGGGAGCAAACAGGAUUAGAUACCCUGGUAGUCCACACCGUAAACGAUGAAUGCCAGUCGUCGGAUAGUAUACUAUUCGGUGACACACCUAACGGAUUAAGCAUUCCGCCUGGGGAGUACGGUCGCAAGAUUA
rnacentral:rRNA from 1 species